UACGAAGGGGGCUAGCGUCGCUCGGAAUCACUGGGCGUAAAGCGCACGUAGGCGGGUUGCUAAGUCAGGGGUGAAAUCCUGGAGCUCAACUCCAGAACUGCCCUUGAUACUGGCGGCCUUGAGUCCGGGAGAGGUGAGUGGAACUGCGAGUGUAGAGGUGAAAUUCGUAGAUAUUCGCAAGAACACCAGUGGCGAAGGCGGCUCACUGGCCCGGUACUGACGCUGAGGUGCGAAAGCGUGGGGAGCAAACAGG
rnacentral:rRNA from 1 species